UACGUAGGAGGCAAGCGUUGUCCGGAAUCAUUGGGCGUAAAGAGCGUGUAGGCGGCCCGGUAAGUCCGCUGUAAAAGUCAAAGGCUCAACCUUUGAAUGUCAGUGGAUACUGCCGGGCUAGAGUCCGGAAGAGGCGAGUGGAACUCCUGGUGUAGCGGUGGAAUGCGCAGAUAUCAGGAAGAACACCAACGGCGAAGGCAGCUCGCUAGGACGGUACUGACGCUGAGACGCGAAAGCGUGGGGAGCGAACAGG
rnacentral:rRNA from 1 species